rnacentral:rRNA from 1 species
UACGUAGGGAGCAAGCGUUGUCCGGAAUCAUUGGGCGUAAAGCGCGUGUAGGCGGCCAGGUAGGUCCGUUGUGAAAACUCGAGGCUCAACCUCGAGACGUCGACGGAAACCAUCUGGCUAGAGUCCGGAAGAGGAGAGUGGAAUUCCUGGUGUAGCGGUGAAAUGCGCAGAUAUCAGGAAGAACACCCGUGGCGAAGGCGGCUCUCUGGGACGGUACUGACGCUGAGACGCGAAAGCGUGGGGAGCGAACAGG